AAACAUUUUGCAACAUCUGCAUAAAAUUUUCUCCAGUGUCUGGGUAGAUGUUUUUUUAGAGUGCAUUUUCAGUAACUGUCCGGGCGAUUAAAAACAUCAAUUUGCGAAAUAAAUUCCACCAGGACAUCCAGUUUCGGAACGGUCGAUAGCGGAUGCCGCCGGUUGCUGGAUUCGUAAGAUUGUUGGAUUAACGUUUGGUGCUUUCAGAUGCAUCUGAACAACUAUAGGCCAUUGGAUUAAAGAGGCGGUGAUGGGCGAGUGGACGAUCGUAUACCCGAAAUGUAUGGUUUAUAUACAAGACCCAAAUGAACGGAACUAGAGAUGAUUGCCGAACUAGAGAUCAUUGCCAAAGAAGGAAUCGUAGUCGCAUAUCAGUUUAGCACAAGAUUUUUUUUUCUAGAAGGAUCUCGAAUAAAACCGCUUACAAAAGAGUGUACUUUGUCCAUUGUUUUUCUUUUGCUUCCAACAUGUAUAUGAGAUAAAAAGGAAUAAUCAAUCAUAAAAAACAAUAAAUCAAUUAUACCGCAUACGUUCUCCAUUUCCAUACAAUUUUUAUAGUUG